rnacentral:misc_RNA from 1 species
UGAGGGGGUUCCUGCGAAUGGUUGUCUUUACUGGGCUGCUAGCAAGACCCACAAAUUCGCAGACCGAAUUUUACGUCUCAACCUAUCAGACGAAACAUUUAGGGAGGUUACUCCUCCUUUUGAUCCAUCCAUUUCUCGGCUUUGGUUUCAGGAAGAGGAGGAAUUCAUUGUAGUGGCUGAAUUAACUUACUUCUUUGGGGGGAUUCGCUUUUUGUGUUUCGCAAGUAUGACCACACUGUGGGUAAUGAAGGAGGAGAAGGAAGAAAACGG